AUGAAGAGGUAGCUCGCGGCUGAGUAUGAAGAGAGGCAUACUGGCUGA
rnacentral:snoRNA from 2 species